rnacentral:tRNA from 1 species
GUUUCUGUAGUUGAAUUACAACAAUGGUUUUUCAAGCCAUAGUUCCUGGUUAGAGUCCUGGCGGAAAUU